rnacentral:rRNA from 1 species
UACAGAGGGUGCGAGCGUUAAUCGGAAUUACUGGGCGUAAAGCGUGCGUAGGCGGUUAUGUAAGUCAGGUGUGAAAGCCCCGGGCUCAACCUGGGAAUUGCAUUUGAGACUGCAUAGCUAGGGUGCGGAAGAGGGAAGCGGAAUUUCCGGUGUAGCGGUGAAAUGCGUAGAUAUCGGAAGGAACACCAGUGGCGAAAGCGGCUUCCUGGUCCAGCACCGACGUUCAGGCACGAAAGCGUGGGGAGCAAACAGG